rnacentral:rRNA from 1 species
AGCGAACGCUGGCGGCAGGCUUAACACAUGCAAGUCGAACGGGCACUUCGGUGCUAGUGGCAGACGGGUGAGUAACACGUGGGAACGUACCUUUCGGUUCGGAAUAAUCCAGGGAAACUUGGACUAAUACCGGAUACGCCCUUCGGGGGAAAGAUUCAUCGCCGAUAGAUCGGCCCGCGUCUGAUUAGCUAGUUGGUGAGGUAAUGGCUCACCAAGGCGACGAUCAGUAGCUGGUCUGAGAGGAUGAUCAGCCACAUUGGGACUGAGACACGGCCCAAACUCCUACGGGAGGCAGCAGUGGGGAAUAUUGGACAAUGGGCGCAAGCCUGAUCCAGCCAUGCCGCGUGAGUGAUGAAGGCCUUAGGGUUGUAAAGCUCUUUUGUCCGGGAAGAUAAUGACUGUACCGGAAGAAUAAGCCCCGGCUAACUUCGUGCCAGCCGCCGCGGUAAUAC